rnacentral:pre_miRNA from 1 species
AGCUGGCUGAACCCGGGCCAAAUUAUUUCAUUGUUCUGACAUUUGGUCCCCUUCAACCAGCUGU